CCUGCCUGCAGUGGGGGAGUUGGAGCUCGAUGAUCCUUGAGGUCCCUUUCAUCCCAAAACAUUCUGUGGUGUUCAAGGUGUUCAAAUCCAUAUCUUUUCAAUUUGCAGAGAAGGAUGUUAUAAGGUACCGUGUCAAAGGCUUCGCUGAAGUCCAGAUAGAUGACAUCAGUGGCUCUUCCCUUGUCCACUGAUGCAGUAAUACCAUCCUAGAAGGCCACUAGGUUGGUCGAGCAGGAUUUAUCCUUGAUGUAGCCAUGCUGGUUCUCCAGUAUCACCUCCCUGCCUUCCAUGUACUUCAGCAUAGCUUCUAGGAAGAUCUGCUCCAUGAUCUUCCCCAGCACGGAGGUGAGACUGACAGGUCGGUAGUUCGUGGGGUUGUUGUUCUUAUCCUUUUUAAAAAUGUGUGUGAUGUUGCCUUUUUUCCAGCCACCAGGGACUUCACCUGACCGCCAUGACCUUUCAGAUCUCAUGAAGAGAUUGGCAACUACAUCAGCCAAUUCCCUUAGGACUCUGGGAUGCUUCUCACUGGGACCCAUAGACUUGUGGAUGUUCAAGUUCCUCAGGUGGCCGCAAACCUGAACUUUGCUUACAGUGGGAGUAACGCUGCUUCUCUGAUCCACUUCUACCAAACCAAAUACUUGAGGACUGUGUGGUGUGCAGUUACCACUGAGACUGAGAACAUGUACUUAAUCAACAGCAAUCCAGUCUUCUGUAUCAACCAUCUUCACUUCCUAUGGGAAUGGUGUUUUUCUAUCUCAUCUUUCAGCAUCCAGCCCACAUGAAUACAUGGCCCUGUAUAUAACUGAGCAAGCCGAAGAAAGCAUUUGAUACAUGUUCCCAUCAAAGCUGUGUGCUUUAUGUGUGCUGCCUCAAGCCUGCAGUACCAGCACUGGACACCACACCUUUUGGAAGUACAAAUACAGUGCAGGCAGCUGUUGUAGAAGCUUCCCUGUG
rnacentral:lncRNA from 1 species